rnacentral:rRNA from 1 species
GACGAACGCUGGCGGCGUGCCUAAUACAUGCGAGUAGAACGCUGAAGGAGGAGCUUGCUUCUCUGGAUGAGUUGCGAACGGGUGAGUAACGCGUAGGUAACCUGCCUGGUAGCGGGGGAUAACUAUUGGAAACGAUAGCUAAUACCGCAUAAUAGUAGAUGUUGCAUGACAUUUGCUUAAAAGGUGCAAUUGCAUCACUACCAGAUGGACCUGCGUUGUAUUAGCUAGUUGGUGGGGUAACGGCUCACCAAGGCGACGAUACAUAGCCGACCUGAGAGGGGGAUCGGCCACACUGGGACUGAGACACGGCCCAGACUCCUACGGGAGGCAGCAGUAGGGAAUCUUCGGCAAUGGACGGAAGUCUGACCGAGCAACGCCGCGUGAGUGAAGAAGGUUUUCGGAUCGUAAAGCUCUGUUGUAAGAGAAGAACGAGUGUGAGAGUGGAAAGUUCACACUGUGACGGUAUCUUACCAGAAAGGGACGGCUAACUACGUG